UCCGUAGGUGAACCUGCGGAAGGAUCAUUAGUGAAUUUAGCGCAUCUACUUUGUAGAGCGUGACCUCCACUUUCUAACUCUGUGCACUUAAUGGCGGAAGAAGAUGUGUAAAAGCUCUUCUUCUGCGGCUCAUUUUAUAACACUAGUUAAAGAAUGUAACGAAAUAUCGAAACAAAAAAAAACUUUCAACAACGGAUCUCUUGGCUCUCGCAUCGAUGAAGAACGCAGCGAAAUGUGAUAAGUAAUGUGAAUUGCAGAAUUCAGUGAAUCAUCGAAUCUUUGAACGCACCUUGCGCUCCCUGGUAUUCCGGGGAGCAUGUCUGUUUGAGUGUCAUGAACUCUUCAACCCACCAGUUUCUUGUAAACUGAAUGGUGUUUGGUUUCUGAGCGUUGCUCGUCCUCUGUGACUGAGCUCGUUCGUAAUAUAUGAGCAUCUCUAAUUCGAAUUCGGAUUGACUCAGUGUAAUAGACUAUUCGCUGAGGACACGCUUUUAGUGUGGCCGAAUAAGAUAAUUGUAGAAGCUUCCAACCCUUCUAGUCAUUUUAAGAUUAGACCUCAGAUCAGAUAGGACUACCCGCUGAACUUAAGCAUAUCAAUAAGCGGAGGAA
rnacentral:rRNA from 1 species